rnacentral:rRNA from 1 species
GACGAACGCUGGCGGCGUGCUUAACACAUGCAAGUCGAACGAGAGGACGAGAGAAGCUUGCUUCUUUUGGAAUCGAGUGGCAAACGGGUGAGUAACACGUAAACAACCUGCCUUCAGGAUGGGGACAACAGACGGAAACGACUGCUAAUACCGAAUACGCUUGGAAGACCGCAUGAUUUUCCAAGGAAAGGGUGGCCUCUACCUGUAAGCUAUCGCCUGAAGAGGGGUUUGCGUCUGAUUAGGCAGUUGGUGAGGUAACGGCCCACCAAACCUACGAUCAGUAGCCGGUCUGAGAGGAUGAACGGCCACACUGGAACUGAGACACGGUCCAGACUCCUACGGGAGGCAGCAGUGGGGAAUCUUCCGCAAUGGGCGAAAGCCUGACGGAGCAACGCCGCGUGAGUGAUGACGGCC